UUUAAAAUUUUUGCUUUCAGCAAUUUUCCAUUUUUUUCAACAUACUUAUAUCGCAAUGAGGCAACCAAAUAUGAAUCCUGAGAAUGAAGAUGGAAAAUGAAUAUUUUAAUCCAAUAUCGAGUUGUUCUUUCAACAUUUUUAGUUUUAGUUUUAAUCGAAAAUAUAAAGUUACAUAAUUGUGUGAGGAAUAAUUUUUGCAGAGAAAUUUUUAAAAAUUCACAAAAGGAAAAAGAAACCUUUACCAUGAGUCUAUAACAUUGAAAGACUGUGUUUAAGUUAUUUUAAUAAAGCCAAACCAACACUUUCAGCAGGAACUAAAUGGCAGCAUCUGAUUUCACGCUGAUACAUAUGUAUUAGUGUGGUGCUCACUUUUACCCUUCAUUUUACCUUGGGUCUUGCCAUUUUCUUUCUUUUUAUUUUUAUGUUUUUUUGUGUUUUGUUUUCUUUUGGAAGAGGUAAUUUUUAGGGAGAAAAAAAACACUUUUUCCUCAUAGGUCGAUUUAAAAUGUUGGCCUUACCUUAAUCUCCUCUCUCAAACUCAAUCCACUAUGUAAUGGGUCAACAUACUUUUCUGUGAAGGAGCAGAUAGUAAAUAUUUUAGUCUUUGCAGGCCAUAUGGUCUCUGUUGCCAGCUCUUCCAUUGUGGUGUGAAAGCAGCCAUAGACAACACAGAAAUGAAUAAGUGUAACUGUUCCAAUAAAAACAGAUGAUAUGUUGAAUUUAGCUCACAGAGUUUAGCUUGCUGCCCCUGCAGGAGGCCUUUGGAGUAAAAGCUUCCUGAGAGGAGGACUUUUUGUCUUUUUUGCUCAAGUUCUAGCUCCAGUACCUAAAAUAGUGCCUGUCAACGUAGGUAUUGAUGAAUAUUGGAACCUGUUGAACAUACACCUAAAAUAAAACAUUUGGCAAGAUACAGUACUACACAAUUUGGAGAACACUUGGCUCCCAUAGAAAUCAAAGCCUUCCUGAGUAAUUAAUUAUUUGGCCUGAUGAUGAAUUACUGUGCCUGAGAUGAUAGAGCUAAUUUAUUUUUCAAUUCACUCAGGGGACACACGUUAUUUUCACUGUGAAUUUGGUUAAAAUGAAAAGAUUUCCUGCUCUAAGUCCUGGAUAGACCUUUAUGUAAUAGCAUACUCUUCACUCUUUUUGAAUCGCAUGCAGUUGUCAGACUGGAUGAUUUCCAGACAGAGGUUCCAAGUCUUUCAUCAUGUUUGGGUUAAAGACCUCAUUAACAUACUAGUCCUGCCAUUUGAGUCUGUUCUCUUCACGGAAUAUUUUCACCUGAAUCACCAUAACAUCCUAUGGCCCUGAAAAUAGUUCUGCCAAGCUGCGUGCAGUGGACACUUCACGGCUGGCACAGGAGAGAUCACAAGGCCUUGCUCAAUUUCAUCAAAAGUGUUAAAGCGACUCAGCAGAUUGUGAAGCACAAGUGGAAGCUGAUAAUUGGUGUUUCUUACAAAUCAACGGCUUGUCUCCACACAUCAAGGUGAGAAAAUCAAUGUAAAAGAGGAGAAAUAACCCACACAACCACAUACAACUAGGAAAUGAUAGAUGGAUCUGAAAAAAAGGAUAUGCACUCUUAACAAGUUCAACACCCAAGUACUAUUGCAAGUACCAGCUGUAUUUCAUGGAAAAAAAAAAAAGAAUAACUCAAAAGG
rnacentral:lncRNA from 1 species